UUAGGGUAAUUUACAUAUUUAUUUUCCUUCUCAUGCGCAAUGCUCACGGGGUUUCACUAUAAUCUCGCCUCCCAUAUUCGACCUUCCAAUUCCUAUCCAAAUUCAAACUUUCAUUUGCUUCUCAUACUUGUCCCUCAUAAGUUGAUCGAAGAAUCUUGUUCUCGUAGAGAUUGAACCCUAACUCGUGUUGGAGUGCAAGCCCACAAAUCCUAACUCGUGGUAAUAUCGAUUGUGCAAAGGACCUUACUGCUUCAUCUCCAGUGCUUUCUGGAGCGAUGGUGCAAGUGAAAGAAACUACCUCAUAAACUUCUCUUUUUGCAUGUUCUAGUCAUAAUAACCAAUGAGAACAUGUUACAGAUAUAUAGCAAUUGCACACAAGAAAGCCAAAGUAAAUUAUUUUGGGCUGCAUCUGAGGAAGAGAUUGCGAGGUUUUCCCUUUUAGGCUCUAUUGACCAAAGAGGGAACCCUGAGUUCCUUGGAAGAACAGUGACCCUAGAGCCUGCUAAAGGAGGAAUGUGUAAAUAUUUCCAAAUAAUUAAUCUUUUUUUACCCUAUUAUUGAGGUUGAUUUAUUAAUGAUUAUCGGUUCCAUAUUUCAUUUAUUCAACUGUUAUGUGAAGUUUAUGUAGUAAUUCUAGUAUAAGUGUGCAAGCAAAGUAUAAUGUCUACGUCAUGUUCAUAUGAUAGCAUAU